AACGAACGCUGGCGGCGCGCCUAAUACAUGCAAGUCGAGCGAGAAGACGUAGCAAUACGUUUGUAAAGCGGCGAACGGGUGAGGAAUACAUGGGUAACCUACCCUCGAGUGGGGAAUAACUAGCCGAAAGGUUAGCUAAUACCGCGUACGCUCCUUGGACUUCGGUUCAGGGAGGAAAGCGAUACCGUGGGUAUCGCGCUCUUGGAUGGGCUCAUGUCCUAUCAGCUUGUUGGUGAGGAACGGCUCACCAAGGCUUCGACGGGUAGCUGGUCUGAGAGGACGAUCAGCCACACUGGCACUGCGACACGGGCCAGACUCCUACGGGAGGCAGCAGUAAGGAAUAUUGCGCAGUGGGCGAAAGCCUGACGCAGCGACGCCGCGUGGGGGAGUGAAGGUCUUCGGAUU
rnacentral:rRNA from 1 species